UUUUAUUUUGAUUUUUUAUCAGAUUAAACAGCUUGGUAUGGAAGGCUUUAUUUUUCAUCUUGGUUUUUUUUUUUCAUUUGCUCAAUGGAAGGGAGAGGUAGUGAGAAGGAAAGAUUAAUUUUUAAAAAUGCUUAUUUAAAAAAAAGGAAAGAAAGAAAAUGAAGGGAAUAAAAGGAAUCAUGGUUAGGGAGUGAGUUGGGACCCAGAAAAAAGCAGGGGGGUAAGUGUGGAGUUAGACUUUGAAAAGAGGGUAUGAGAACCAGACUGGAAUGCUGAGCCUGGGGGUGAUGUCUCCCAGAGAGAGACAACUUGGGCCCAAGGUCUUGGUAUCUUUGCCCUUGGGUUGUGGGCUUGUCAGUUAAACAAUCAGUUUAACUGCCCUUGGCUGAAGGUUCCACUGGUGUUGGCCUGGACAGAUAGGCGCCCCAUAGAACAAGCAGCUCUCACAAAAGGCCGGUCAGUCGGGAGUAUCCAAGACAUCAGAGACCAGCAUGUUCCCAUUCUACUUUGAGGAGACAGAGACAGUUUUCUGUCUCUCACUUCAGUUCAACUCAACAAACAUUUAUUGGCCAACAAAUCCACUACGUAUAGAGCACUUUGCCAAAUAUGCUGGGGAAAAAUGAAAAUGAAGCAAUGUUGUUCUCCAAUACUUGUGUGUCAACCAUGAUCACAUAGCUAUGAGAAAACUGAGGUUCCAAAGGGUUAAACAUCUUGCCCACCCAGAGUCACCAUGCCAGCAUGUUUCAGUCAGGAUUGCAGCCGUUUGCCCCUCUCGCCAAAGGAGAAGCCAAGUAAAAUGGGCUGGAGGCCAUGGAAGUGAGAAAACUGAAGGCCUGGAUGAUGACCUGACUUGUCCAGAGUCUCAGAGGGAGUUAGAAGUGGAGCAAAGGCAAGAGUCCAGCCCUCCUGACUCUUACCCUGUGCCCUUUCUCUUGGCCUUUACAACUAGUGAGCCAGAAGUUUACAUGGCAAAAGCAAGAGUUUGUUUUCCUUUGCAACACAGAAAUAAUUCGAAGCCAUUUAAGGAGAGACAUCAUGGAUUUGGAGGUUCUUAUCAAAUCAACAUUAUGUUCCUAUUUGGUCUUCCAAGAAGCUGUAUGGGAGAAUAGAAUACACUUCCACAUCUUGCCAGUCUUCAAAAUUGGACCCCAUCAUCCUCUUGUAGAAGUCUUUACUGUUAUUUCAACAUGAGUUCCAGCAUUGUAAAGGUGGGAAAUGAAGACCUGACUUUCUCUUCUGAGAUCAGUUGAAACGUGGAGAUCAGUGAUGCUAAUGACUUUUCUAUUCAGUUGGUUCCAAGAGUUCUAAAACCAU